GUCCCUUCGGGACAUCUGAUAAAACUGGAACAUUACAAAGACGAUUAACAUGAUCUUUCGAAAAAAUGAAAUACACAAAUCGAGAAAUGAUGGAAAAAUAU